UUUUAUUUUUGAAAGAUCGUCUAAUAAAUAAUUGAAUAUGAACAAUUUCCCCAUGAUGGCUUACGUUUUACUGUCAAGCACUCGAAUAGUCGAGCGCGCUGUCCUCUGACAGCUCUUGUUACUAAUGUGUUCGUGUUUUAUUUCUUGAAACUAUUUUUUAAGAUGUAUACCUGCUAGUGUGUUUCGUUUCUUUGGUUUAGUGGUUGUUUCAUAAUUAACAGUGAUUUUAAAUGAAAAGUUUUGAUACUCAAUGUAUAAAAUGAAACUUAAUAAGGUACAAAUGAAUGUAAAAACGCAUAAUUAGACUUUUGAAGGUCCAAGCGACUAAACAAUAGUAUUAUUGCAUAAACUCUUUCUAUAAUGCCCUCUGGCGGGGUGCAGAAACUUGGCAAAAGAAGGGCUUGAACGGGAGAAAUCGUGUAUUAAUAAUGCGAUUCACGUGCCGUUCAAGCCCUGUCAUGUGUUUUUCAUAUCCAUAAUCUGGUCCACGCGCAGUUACUUCCCUUAUCCAGCCUUCGACGACUUUCCAAGCAUAAAUGGGGAACUGAAUAAGCAUCAGUUUCCUCUUGCAUGCAGGGAUAAUGACUAUUUUAAUCCACUUUUCAAGUUAUACCAUCUGCACUCUCUUGACAACAGCUUUAUUUUAUUGCCAACGUCAAUGAAGUUAAGGUUUUUCACUCAAAACUUUUAAAAGACUAUGCUGUAAAUGUAAGUGUGUAUGUACCUUCAACGUUCCUGCUGUAAAUUCCAAAAUAAUUCCUAAUUUCUUACUUUGCGCGGCUGCAUUUCAGCUUGCAUUAAUCCACUGUUUAAACACAUUUUAAAUCGAAAACUGCCUAUCCGAAGGUAAAGCCUCGUCAUUUCGGAUGAUGACCGUGUGAGGCAUAUGUAAAACACAACCUUGAACUGUAUUGAAAUAAUCGAAUUAUUUUGUCGAUGUCGAAUGAACAAAACAUAUUUUUUUAAAUGUUAUUUAAAAUUAUUUUGGUACGUGUGAUUUGUUUAUGCAAUAAUAGCGAAAAUACACAUUUUCUCGGACAUAAGCAUCUGCGGGCGCUCUCAAAAUCCGUUCCUGCCCUCCUGCUGCGUACGCAGGCAAGAACGGAUUUUUCGAGCGCCCGCAGAUGUUCAUGCCCUCGAAAACGUGUAUAAUUCCUAUAAUGUUCAACCGUAUGUAUUAUAACCUCUGGCACGACGAUGACAUAUGUGAUGGUAUUGAACGACAACUCGGCUGGAAAAUUGCGUAUGCAUUAAACAGAUCGUUGUAUGCAAAUCGAAAGUAGAUACAUGAUCUUGUUUACAGUAAGAAUGUAAAACGUAUGAUUUAGAAAUAUAUUUUUAGUGUAAAUUCGUAUUUCCGUACGUACCAAUCACUGAGAAAAACACAGGGGUAACACUUAAAAUAUGCGUAAUGUUUCAUUUUUAAAUUGUUAAGUAUGGGGAAUAUCGCGGGGAUUUCCCGGGAAAUUAUGAUAACAAACCGCAAUCGGGAAAUCUGCUUGAAGUUGGUAAAGAAAUACAGUACGUGUGUAUCUUACGUAAAUACUAAAUUGUUCGUGUUUUAUUUUUUGAAACUACGUUGUUAAAGUAAGUGCUGUUAAUCAAUUAAGAAACUGAAACUUAUGAAGGUACACAUGAAUGUAUACACGCAUAACAAGACUUGCAAAAUUAGCAUUUCAAUAUUAAUAAAUAUAUUACCGAGUAUGUAAUAACAUUGGAUUUUUUUUAUACGUAUUUUCAAUUUAAAUUGGUUACACAAUCGAACCUAUCUGAAUGUUUCGUGAUUAUAAUAUACAUCUGAUUAAAGUCGCGCUUACCUGAUGGAAAAAUGAAAUUACUGCAUGAAAACAUAAACAUACUAUAAUAUUGCAAAAACGUUGUCAGUAUUCCAAAUAAAAAGCAUAUUCAUGUGCUGAAAGUUUUUAACAAUUUUUUUUUUACACCGACAAGAAUUAUCGAUUACAGUCAGACAACUACGUAAACGUCUUUAUGUGGAGUUAUUUAUCUGCUUUUCUUCGAGCUAUCUAAAAUGUAAUUGUAGUUAAAGUUCGAUAAGUGAACUAUCUUGUUAAAAAAAAGUCAGCCCUCCCGCUUAACACUUUAAUAUUUAUGAUUUGAUAUAUUGUAAGAAAUGUCUACAUAUGGUUAAAGGUUGAUGAAGACGAUCUAGGCCUUGAUGAUAACGGAACUUAUGAUGAUGGUGGUGUGGUGAAAAUAUGGCUGAAGGUGGUUACUGGCAUGAAGAGACAGAUCAUGAACUUGCCCCGCGUCCAAGAGGCCUUUACACUCAUCUCCUUGAAGUUCCAUGGCAACGUGAGUCCAUAGAAACCAGUACUGUGAUGAACUCGCUUGGGUAUGAGUUUCAUAUCAGAAAGGCGCGAAGAGAGGCCUACAGGGAGGUGUAUAGCAAUCAAAGCAAUUCGUCUGCGCUUUUAAUCACUACGGGUAGUAAAGCCGAGGGACUGACAAACUUCUUUGAGAGUGACACGGACAUCAUGUGUGUAUUACAAGAUGUCAUGUGUCUAGAAAACGAUGUUAGUUAUGAUAUACUACCAAGGCAAAUUACUGUGUUUACAUUAAACACCGGGGUAUGCUACCACGGACAUUGCAGACUUGCACUAGAGCGGCCUGGUACAAAUAUUCACAGAUUUGUUCGAAAUGCUUAGUGUGCUUAUGAAAACGGACGUGCUCUCUUGAGCAGCGACUUGUACGUUAAUGCUUAUGAAGAACGUAAUGGUGAUUUUCUAUGCAUUAGCAAAUUAUCAUUACAUGAACGUGCAGGGCCGUCAACGCCGAUAACACAAGGGGCAUUAAAUAUAGACGUAGUCAAUUCGUUACACUGUUACUGUCCCAGCAUACUUAGAAAAUGGGCUGAACGACGUCGGCAUUGGCCACCUCCGGAUGUCGUUCACAAAA